ACGUACACUCCUGCGGGAGGCAGCAGUGGGGAAUAUUGGACAAUGGGCGCAAGCCUGAUCCAGCCAUGCCGCGUGAGUGAUGAAGGCCCUAGGGUUGUAAAGCUCUUUCACCGGUGAAGAUAAUGACGGUAACCGGAGGAGAAGCCCCGGCUAACUUCGUGCCAGCAGCCGCGGUAAUACGAAGGGGGCUAGCGUUGUUCGGAUUUACUGGGCGUAAAGCGCACGUAGGCGGACUAUUAAGUCAGGGGUGAAAUCCCGGGGCUCAACCCCGGAACUGCCUUUGAUACUGGUAGUCUUGAGUUCGAGAGAGGUGAGUGGAAUUCCGAGUGGAGAGGUGAAAUUCGUAGAUAUUCGGAGGAACACCAGUGGCGAAGGCGGCUCACUGGCUCGAUACUGACGCUGAGGUGCGAAAGCGUGGGGAGCAAACAGGAUUAGAAACCCGUGUAGUCCC
rnacentral:rRNA from 1 species